GUCCCCACUAACUUUCCUCACUCUAGCCACACCCAACUAACUCUUCAGCUGAAGGGUAUAGCUUAGAACUUCUUGUCCCAGAGUCUUUGUGUCUGCAUGCUGGUCUAUCUCCUAGAGCGCCCUUCCCCCCCCCACCACCAUUUGACCUGUACGAUCUCAUCCUUCAGGAUAAAUGAAGACUAGCCAAAGAAGAACAAAAUUCAUUUAUUCUGAGCCUGCUAUAGCAACACAGCCAACCGCCAUUGCUUAGUUCUGGUAGACAGAGGAAGGCAGGGGAGGAAAAAGGAUUUAGAGCAGGAUAAAGAAAAACCUGGGCUCUGUCUCAAACGGAGACGGCUGUUGUGGGGAGGCUGAAAGGAGCAGAGCCUUCCAAUUCCAGGUGAGAGGAGAUCCUUCCAACUCGCAGAUGAAGCCAGAUCCUCAGGUCUCAGGUUCAGCCUGUCAGGGAUUUGACAUCUGCUUCGGGAUGUCAUCCUGGGGUACAUUUUCUUCUAAACAGAAUCACCGACAGCAUCUCACAAAAUAUUCCACCGGGCUCUGGUGCCGCCCAUUUAGCAAGAAGAUUGCUUGAGCUGAGCCCCAGCAUAAACCUGCCAGCUGUAACAUAUCUUGCUGGUCUGACCCAGUGAUGACCCAGAGUACUCUUCUGUCUAGGCUGUUUUCUUUUAUUUUCUAUCCUCUGAAGAGUGUCAGAAUUCUGCCUGGUAAGCAAUAAAUCCAUCUUUUUGGUGAUCAAUUGUGGUGACUGGCUGCAAAGCCUGGAAAUCCAAUUAACUGCAAAAUAAAUAGAAUUAAAAAAAAUUUUUUAAAUCCACCAAAGCUGUGGCAUAAGUCAGCUAAGGAGAUGCUCUGG
rnacentral:lncRNA from 1 species